AGAAGCGAUGAAUGAAGGCCACAUGAGUCCAUCGACCAUUGCUAUAUGGCACGCGAAUCGACGCUCCGACCGCCGCUGCCGGGCCGCAGUCCAAGACCUUUGUUCUCUGUUUUCUCUGCGCCGCACACCGCUUUCUCUGCGGCGUCCCUCCCUUUUUUUUAGUUCGAUCGUGACAAAUUGGUCGUCCAUGCGGAUGGAUCUAUAUAGUAUUCAGCGGCAAAGAAACGAACACCCACCGAGCGCAAGAAGCGGCGUCACGAUCAGCCCAAGUAAGAACAAGAGUACCCAGAAAAGAUCGCUCGUCGCCGCCUUUGGCACCCCUUUCUCUUUCAAAUCCUCACCUCUUCUCCUUCUUCUUUUGUUGUUUUCUGGGCGUCUUGCUGGCUUACGAUUUGUUUUGGUAGUGGUGUGUGUGAAAGACGGGUUUGCCGUGGCAUGUGUAUCGUCUUGUGCCCCAGGGAGGAAGGAAAGAGAAAAAGAAAGGAAGGGGUUUAGGAGCUGGAUGCGCUAUGUUGAGAUGUGUGAUCAGAGGUGAGAAAAUGGAGAACGAACAGAGUGAGAGGAGGAGCGGUUGCGUUCUAGGAUUUGGUCGGAAUAGAUGCGGAAUUGAAUGUCUGUGGACAUCUCUUGAGCUGCUUGAUUGUUUGAUCGGUGAAACCCUGAAGUUUGAUCGGGGACUAGCAGAAGAUUUGUGGGUAAAGUAAAUUGUUGUGUGAGGAAGGGAAAGGAGUGUGAUAUGUAGGAGGAGGGGGAGACGAGAGUUUCUCAAGAGAGUAUGUGUUCUUACCAUUCUCGGUAUGAACUCUCUGAGCUUCUAAAAGAUAACUGUAGAUGCAUUGAAGAUUCAUCUUGUGAGUUGGCAUAGCGUUGGAUUUCACACACAGCAAUGCCUCGAGAAAUAUUGUACCUGCAUACGGUAAGGAAUUUAAUGGAAGCAGCUUUUGAGCAAGUGGAAUUGUGGAUUGUAAAGUUUGGGAAAUUGGCAAUUGAGUGUUCUUCGAAUCUAGGUUUUCUUGGUCUUGUUGAGUCUGAAGAUUACAACAUCCUAGGAUGUAACAGUAAGCAAUUUUAGGACUACAUUAAUAUUUUUUUUAUUAUUUAGGAUGUCGAAAGGUCUAAUAAAUAAUGUAGAGGCAAUACUGAAAGAAAGGGUUUUCUACUUGAGGAGGAUCCUGCCUUCUAUUUUUUUUCACCUUGGACAUGUGGAACCGUCGUUGUUGGUGGCGACUGCUCAUUCUCAUCAAGAUCAAGUAGCCCAUUGAUUUAGAGAUGAAGAGGGGAAUCAACAAAAACAUCCGAUAAGAUCUCUUUAAUUUUGAUUUAAUAAAGAGUGUAGUUUUUUCUUCUUCUUCGGUUUGGUUUGGUCCGAACCGGUUAACCGAAUCUAAGAAGAGUACUCUUCUAAAUCAGAACCAUUUAUAGACUUCAAGAUCAAACUAUUGAUGAACCAGUUUUUGGCUGAAUUGGAUCUGGACCGAUUCAAUUUUGGUUUAGUUUUGGUUCGGUUGGUUUUCCGAUUCGAUCUGAACACCCCUACCAUGAAUAAGCUUUCUAAUAUUCACUAGCUCUUCAUAAGAGAAGAAUUACUUUAUAACGUUUGUUUGCAAAUAUCAAUCUUUGAAUUCUAGCCUAUGUUGUUUAAGUGUAAGUCUUCCACCGUCGAAGUUCAGAGGCAUCCAAAUUCAGAGGCAACAAUAAAGCAAAAAAAAAAAAGAAGACUAUUUUGCACCAGUCGCACUCAAUGUUUGUAGGAGGCCGACACGGGCAAUUAAUUGCCUCUUGCUACUGAUCACCAUGAAACUUAAGGAAAUCUUAAAAGAAAAUUAAUAUCCUAACCAUGAGGCAAAAGAAGGUUUUGCAGGAGAACCAGGGGUGACUGCUAGAAAGGUCUACAUCUUGCUUUUCUUUCACUGUUUUAUCUGUUUCUUGUUUUGUCUAACCCUUUCUUCUUUCUUCUGAACACACAACUGUACUGCUAUGAUGCUUCCUCUGCAGAUCAGGAGAUGGUUUUGCAGCAACUUCUCGAACGAUUCCUGAUAAAGGACCUGAUCUGCUAAUCCCGUUGGAGGAAACACCUUGAUCAAACUCAGCAGAAAGAACACUAAGUCGAGCAAAGGGAACACUGAAGGCUCCUCUGCCAAUGUGAGCAAUGAGAAAGGAUCACCCGAAGCACAUAAUUGGAAGAAUGAAGUUGAACCUAAAAAAAGAAACAGCAGACAAACGACGGGCGGAAGGCGUGGGGAUGGGAGCUGAGAAGGAGAAGAAAUAGUAGGUUAAGAUACUUGCAUUCCGAUGAGCAGGAUUGCAGUCUGGUGGAUGCGUCUGAGGUUUGGAGUGACGAAACUUAGUUGCAAGCUUUGUUCGCCCAAAACAUUUCUGAACUCAAGACAAUCCGUUAGUCGAUUACAGACAUUGAGGCAGUUCUGAGCAAAUUGACAUUGCUGAUGGGGUGCUCGCUGGCAGGAGAAAUCUCCUCCCGCUGCUUCUUCUUCUUCUCAAGAGGUUGGGCAGCGAUGGAAGCGGUCUGAUAUCCUUGUUUGUACUUGUACACUAACCUAACAAAAAAAAUUGAUUGAACCAUGUUGUACCAACAGUCAUCAUCAUCAGCCAUUUUAGCAUGGCAAGUGUCUGUCCCGACUGAGGUGAGGAACCUCAUUCGGCAAGUAGUAUGGGGGGUGCUACUAUGGAACGGCAUUUGGCUAUCCACCAGCUAUUGAUGGAUGGAUGGAUGGAUGGGUUCUUAUAUUGAAAGUCCGAUUAGUUUGGUGUAUAGUUUGAUCAAUCUUUUUUUGUAGGGGAUUUCAUGUGGAUGUUUUUGCCCACUGGUGUAUAUGCGUGUUAUGUUUCGGGUGGAACUUUGGCAUAUCGGUGAGUCUGCACACCGGAGUCGAUUUGUAAGCACGCGAAAAAUUGUCCUAUUUUGCAACGUUUUAAUUGCU